rnacentral:rRNA from 1 species
UGGGGGAUAUUGCACAAUGGGCGAAAGCCUGAUGCAGCGACGCCGCGUGGGGGAUGAAGGCCUUCGGGUUGUAAACUUCUUUUGCUCUGAACAAGGCGCACCAUGGGGUGUGUUGAGUGUAGGGGUUGAUUAGCGCCGGCUAACUACGUGCCAGCAGCCGCGGUAAUACGUAGGGCGCGAGCGUUGUCCGGAAUUAUUGGGCGUAAAGGGCUUGUAGGUGGCUGGUUGCGUCUGUCGUGAAAGCUCAUGGCUUAACUGUGGGUUUGCGGUGGGUACGGGCUGGCUUGAGUGCAGUAGGGGAGGCUGGAAUUCCUGGUGUAGCGGUGGAAUGCGCAGAUAUCAGGAGGAAUACCGGUGGCGAAGGCUGGUCUCUGGGCUGUUACUGACACUGAGGAGCGAAAGCAUGGGGAGCGAACAGG